rnacentral:lncRNA from 1 species
GCAGGUCUGCGGUGGAAAGCCUUGUCAACACCGCAUCAAGAUAAGUGGUCUGCAUCAUCCUUGCUGCCUACAGUUCAUUUGAGGAACAAGCGCUUCCAGCAUCAUGGAAAUAUGCCAAUACCACACCACUGUCUAAGACGAAACCGGUAACAAUAAUUGCCAAGCAUAUCAGACCCAUCUCGCUAACAUCAGCACUAUCGAAGUUAGCUGAGGACUUUAUCGUUAAGAAUUAUGUUGGACCUGCUGUUCUUGAAAUCAUCAAUCCAAUCAAUUUGGUGCCAUCCCGAAGUCGUCUACUACUCGGGCUCUUAUAUCCAUGAUGCAUGCGUGGACUUCUGCCACUGAUGGAACAGG